CCUACGGGUGGCAGCAGUGAGGAAUAUUGGUCAAUGGACGAGAGUCUGAACCAGCCACGUAGCGUGAAGGCUGACUGCCCUAUGGGUUGUACACUUCUUUUAUAAAGGAAUAAUACGCGGCACGUGUGCCUUUUUGCAUGUACUUUAUGCAUAAGGCUCGGCUAACUCCGUGCCAGCAGCCGCGGUAAUACGGAGGCUGCUAGCGUUAUCCGUAUUUAUUGGGUUUAAUGGGUGCGCAGGCGGCCUGUUCAGUCAGCGGUAAAAGCCCGGGGCUCAACCCCGGCGAGCCGUUGAAACUGGCGGGCUGGAGUUGGAGAGAAGUACGCGGAAUGAGCGGUGUAGCGGUGAAAUGCUUAGAUAUCGCGCAGAACCCCGAUUGCGAAGGCAGCGUACCGGCUCCAAACUGACGCUGAGGCACGAAAGCGUGGGUAUCGAACAGGAUUAGAUACCCUUGUAGUC
rnacentral:rRNA from 1 species